UAAUUAAUUUUGGUUAUUAAUAAAAACCUUAUAAAUUUUUUAUGUUUUUUUUAAAAAAAUAUAUUCAGAAAAUUAAAUUUAUUUAAUAAUAAAAUGUUAUUGAAAUUUAUAUAAAAUUUUAGCUAAAUUUGUGCCAGCAGCAGCGGUUAAACAAAUAAAAAUAUUUAUUAUAAUAAUAAUUUAUAAAAUAAUAACUAUAAAAAUAAUUUUUAAAGAAAGUGAAAUUUUUUAAAAAAAUAUAAAUAAUUUAUAAUCAAAAUUCAACUUUUAAACCAGGAUUAGAUACCCUGUUAUUAAUGGGUUAAAUAUUGUGAGUAAGUGAAUUAAUGGAAACAAAAAAAUAUGGCGGUACUUUAAGCUUAUCAGAGGAAUUUGCUCUGUAAUGGAUAAAACACCUGAAUCUUACUAAAAUUAGUUAAAUCAGCUUGUAUACCACUAUAAGAGUAAUAAUUUAUUAUUAUUUCUAUAAUUUUUUCAUAAAAAAAAUAAGUUAAGUCAUGGUGCAGCAAAAAUUUUAGAAUGAAGUGAAUUACAUUUCUUUUAAGAAUAAAAAAUUGAAAAAUUAUAUUAGGAUUUGAAAGUAAAUAAAUAAUAACAUGAUUUAUUGAAUUUAGCUCUAAAGUAUGUACAUAUCGCCCGUCGCUCUUUUUUAAAGAUAAGUCGUAACAAAGUUAAAGUACCGGAAGGUGUUUU
rnacentral:ncRNA from 1 species